GUCCCUACUCUGGGAAUGACAUUGUUGCCAUUCACUGCAACAGUCCCUCCUCCUCUCUAUCAUUCAUGACUGUGAGAGGGCCAUUGCCUUUCAAUCAAUCACCAGGCAUGCUCUUCUCUCAUCUUCCUCUGUGUGCUCACCUUCCCCUUGCAAUAGUCACAACAUGCUUGCAUCAUGGAAAAGAGGAACACAUGUUUCAGUGCAUCAUUUCUAAGAGU
rnacentral:lncRNA from 1 species